rnacentral:lncRNA from 1 species
UAGCAGUGAUACCAUCUUGUUGGAAUCUCUGUUUUUGAGAUCUGCCCCAAAGAGACCCAGUGAAAGCUGAGAUUGUGAAGCAGCUCUCCAACAAGAAGAGAAACGCAAUACCUGAACCCAGGAACUCUUUCAGCAUUCAGUGAACCGCAGAAAGAUUUAGGAAAGAGGAAAGCAGAAAUGGGUGUGCUUUUUCCAUUUGUUUCAUGCGACAGAAGUUUCCUAGGAAGGGCCAGUCCUGUAAGAAAAGUAGCGGACAAAAUUACAUGGAUGAUACAGAUGGAGGGAGCACACAGGAAGAAGAGAAUGUUGUAUUACUGAGUUUGGACUCUCAGAGAAUGAUCAGAGGGGAAGAGACCUGGAGUCUGCCAAACUUUCAAGGGGAAGGUCAAGUGUUUGGCACACCAAACAAAGAAGAACUGUUUGGAUAAUGUAUAGAAGGAAGAGGAAAGGUGGAACUGGCAGCAGGGAAGCAAGUGGUUACAAUAGCAGGAAUGGGACUUAAUUUAUCUCUGUAAAAUGGAAUAAAAUCUGUUGUUAGAUAGCCAACUAGAUGGUAUGUUUCACUGAGAUUUUCCUGAAUUGAAACUGGCCUUUGUAUACUUUGAAAGGUGUUCUGUGAUCUUUAAAAGGAGAGUGAGCUGGCCAUAAGACAAGCCAAUAGAGUCCGCUUUACGGUACUAAAAAAGAUAGCUAUGUGUGACCCAGUUAAUUUUCACAUCUCUUCUCUUAAG